rnacentral:rRNA from 1 species
UGUAUGACCAUGAUUCCAGCAAGCAUGCAUGCAUGUAGAUCGUUGAUUAACAGAAUUAGAUACCUAGUUAGUGCACGCCCUAAUGCAUGUCAAAUGGUUGGUUGGUCUUCAAUGUCUCAGUAAAGAAGAUAACGUGAAAAUUUGACCCCGGGGGGAGUAGGCCCACAAGGUUAAAACUAAAAGGAAUUGGGGGGGCCCCGCACAAGGGGGGGAUGAUGUGGUUUAAUUAGAUGCAACGAGAAAAACCUUACCCUCCUUUGACAUGUACGGAAUCCUCCAGAGAGGGAGGAGUGCUCGAAAGAGAUCAGUCACACAGGUGAUGCAUGGCGGUAGUCAGCUUGUGUAGUGAGAUGGUGGAUUAAGUCCCGCAACGAGCGCAACCCCUGUCAUUAGCUGCUACAUUUAGUUGGGCAUUUUAAGGAGCCUCCGGGGGCCAACCCGGAGGAAGGUGGGGAGGACGUCAAGUCCUCAUGCCCCUUAUAGGUGGGGCUACACACGUCAUACAAUGAGAGGUACAAAGGGCUGCCAACCCGCGAGGGGGAGCUAAUCCCAUAAAACCGGUUGUAGUCCGGAUCGCAGUCUGCAAUUGGAUUGCGGGAAGUCGGAAUCGCUAGUAAUCGUGGAUCAGAAUGUCACGGUGAAUACGUUCCCGGGUCUUGUACACACCGCCCGUCACACCAUGGGAGCGGGUUGCGCCAGAAGUAGUUAGCCUAACCGCAA